AGAAAAGUAAGCUAAAUUAAGCUAAUGGGUUCAUACCCCAUAUAUAGAGUCUAACACUCUCUUCUCUA
rnacentral:tRNA from 1 species